UAAGUUUUUUCAUUAUUGAAGAUCUGCUUUUCAUCCCACCAACACAUUAAUGCCUGCUAUAUGUAUAUACUAUUGCUGUGGGGAUCUAGAAGUACAAAGAUGAAUAAGAUACCACAUUAUAGUAGGGGAGAAAAAAAUUUAAACCAGGAAUUAUAGUACCAUGCACUGUGUGCUAUAUACAGGUAUUUACAAAGGAAUAUGGAAAUACAGAGGAAGGACAACUGUUUUCCCCAAGGAUGAGGCUUCUUAGAGCUUCUUAGGGAAAAUAACAUUAGAACCAAGUCUGGACAAAUGAAUACAUAGGGGUGCAUCAAGCAGGGAAAAGGAAAAAACAUUCUCAGCAGAGAGAAUACAGGCAUGAAGAUGUGAAGAAAUAAAUAAAUAUUGAUAAAUAUAUUUUUUUCUCUAUAUAUGUACAAUAUAUUUGAAAUAUACAUAUAUUUAUAUGGGAACAGAGAAUAGUUCAGUGUAGCUAGUACAGGGUACAAGAUGAGUAGUCUUAGACUAGAAAGAUUGACUGAAGCCGGGUUAUAGCCAUUGGAAGGCAGUUGAGCUUUAAUCUUAAAAUGAUGGGAGCUACCGGAGGAUUUUAGAAGAAUAGUGACAUAAUCAGACUCUGGCCUCAAGAAAUGUAUAGUCUAGUUGAAGAGACAAAACUAAAGCACAAUAAAAAAAUUAGAUAAUGUUUCAAGAUGAUAUUUAAUCAAGUCAUUAUUGUAAUACUGACUAUAACAGGUUUUGAGGUUAUUGGGAACAGUUUCUUAGAGAAGACAAGAUUAGGAUGAACCACAAAGAAUGAAUAGAAUUUGGGGGAGGAGUUCAGUCAGGAAUAACAGCAAAAGCAAAGAUGUAGAAGUAUGCAGGAAGUAAUAAACAGUUUGACCUGUAGAGAGUGGGUAUGAAAGAGAAUUAGAUAAAAUUGGUAAACGAAAACCAGUUUAUGAGCUUUAUAAAGAGGCUUGUAACACUUUAUACCUGCUGAGAUAUGCCAAGAUCCAGUAUAGGAUCUUCUGUAGAAAGUUGAGGUAAUGAAGGCAGUAUUUUAGGAAAUGUAACCUGGUAAGGAUGCUUUAGAGGUGAAAAAACAGGUCAUAGAGACUUGUAGACUUACAGUGAUAGAAGUAAAAAUGUACAGUAAGCAGCAGAACUGAAAAACAUUUUAAAGGGAGAAGAAACUAAAUGACAGGCUGGAUAUAAAGAUAGAAUAAAUCAGAGAUAAUUCCAUGUUUCCUGAGAAAUGACAAAGUAUGAUGUCACUGACAAGUAAUUUAGGAAUACAAGUCCUUUAGGAAAUAGUUAUUUCUAAGCCACUUAUAACAAGCACAUUUCCCUGUUGAUAGGACCCUGUAUUCUAAAGCUUAGCUUCUUUCUUUCCCAGCUGCAAUUCCACUUUAUUCUAUAAGAUAAUGCCAACCUGGUAUAUCAGAAACAACUCAGCCUUUGGAGCCAGACUGGUCUGGCUUAUAGCCUAUCUCUACUUACCAAAGUUUCUUUGGGAAAAUUACUUAAUUUGCCCAAGCCUCAAGGAUAAUGAUUUCAGACUUUCAGACUGUUAUGAUGAUUCAGUGAGAUAUAUCAGAUGCUUCACAUAUAAUAGGUGCUUUGUAAAUGCUGGUUCCCUUCCUCUAAGCAUGAUUUUUUUUUUUUUUUUUUUUUUUUUUUUGUACAUAGUGCAGCCAAAAGAAAGAAGUCUACCUGUGGGUGCUCUAGUUAUACCAAGGUCUUUACUGGGAUUUAUUGUUGUUGGGUUUUGCUUUCCUUAAAUGUUUAUCAAGAUUUCUUCUGCAAAUGCUACAAUCUUGAAAAUCAUAAAGAUGUGAUUCACUUUAUAUUUAUGCAAUGUGCUCUGUCAUCACUGUUUUAACUUUGUCCUUAAAUCUUCAAAAAGAACUCUUCAGUUUUUUCAGCUGACUUGAUUUUAUUAUUUUUUAAUUGUAUUACAUUCUAAUUCUUAAAUAGGUAACAUAAAAUUUGGUAAAAGAGAUAAACAGUAAACGCUGAGUCUGUUAGUAGUUUUGUAUGCAUCUUUACAGUUAUUCUGUGUUUGUAUGCAAGUCAGUGUGUGUGUGUUUUUUAAAAUUCCAAUGUUACCAUACUGUACAGAGUUCUGCAUUUUGUUUGUUCACUUAACCAUAUGUAUCUGUGACUGUUACAGAUCAGAACCUAAAGGUGCAUUCUUUUUAAUCACUAAAUAGUAUUCUUUGUAAAGAUGUAUCAUAAUCUAUUUAACUUGGCCUUUAAACAAAACUGCUAAUAAUAGUUUAUAGUUGUUUCGUGGGCCUAAUAGAAAUGUGUCGAUGUUUAUCACAAAAAAUGAGUUUUCUGCCUCUUAUCAAACAAAGUUGUGUCCCGUAACUAAAUUUAAACUUUUACUUUUUAUCAUUUGAUUUUCCCCUUGAAAAGAGUAGAACCAGACUUAGUCAUUAGCCAGCUUUACUGUCUUUAUUUGUAUCUCUCUACAGGUGGAAAGCAAUUAGAAAAAGUUAUUGUAAUAACUUGUCUGAAACUUUUUUUUUUGUUCACUUUAAAAGAAAAAGAUACUUUAAAAAUAUAAAUU